rnacentral:rRNA from 1 species
GACGAACGCUGGCGGCGUGCCUAAUACAUGCAAGUGGGACGCAAGGAAACACACUGUGCUUGCACACCGUGUUUUCUUGAGUCGCGAACGGGUGAGUAACGCGUAGGUAACCUGCCUAUUAGCGGGGGAUAACUAUUGGAAACGAUAGCUAAUACCGCAUAAUAUUAAUUAUUGCAUGAUAAUUGAUUGAAAGAUGCAAGCGCAUCACUAGUAGAUGGACCUGCGUUGUAUUAGCUAGUUGGUAAGGUAAGAGCUUACCAAGGCGACGAUACAUAGCCGACCUGAGAGGGUGAUCGGCCACACUGGGACUGAGACACGGCCCAGACUCCUACGGGAGGCAGCAGUAGGGAAUCUUCGGCAAUGGACGAAAGUCUGACCGAGCAACGCCGCGUGAGUGAAGAAGGUUUUCGGAUCGUAAAGCUCUGUUGUAAGUCAAGAACGUGUGUGAGAGUGGAAAGUUCACACAGUGACGGAGCUAC